rnacentral:rRNA from 1 species
AGCAUCCGUAGCCUGUUCUGUAGGUCCCCUGUUAAAUCCAACGGCUUAACCGUUGGCCUGCAGGGGAUACCGCAGGACUAGGAGGCGGGAGAGGUGGGCGGUACUCCACGUGUAGGGGUAAAAUCCUUUGAUCCGUGGAAGACCACCAGUGGCGAAGGCGGCCCACCAGAACGCGCUCGACGGUGAGGGAUGAAAGCUGGGGGAGCGAACCGGAUUAGAUACCCGGGUAGUCCCAGCCGUAAACGAUGCAAGCUAGAUGAUCCGGUCGCAAAUCGCGAUCGGAGUGUCGCAGGGAAGCCGUUAAGCUUGCCGCCUGGGGAGUACGGUCGCAAGACUGA